UGUAAACUGCUUUUGUACGGAACGAAAAGGUCUCUAUUAAUACUAGGGGCUCAUGACGGUACCGUAAGAAUAAGCACCGGCUAACUACGUGCCAGCAGCCGCGGUAAUACGUAGGGUGCAAGCGUUAAUCGGAAUUACUGGGCGUAAAGCGUGCGCAGGCGGUUAUAUAAGACAGAUGUGAAAUCCCCGGGCUCAACCUGGGAACUGCAUUUGUGACUGUAUAGCUGGAGUGCGGCAGAGGGGGAUGGAAUUCCGCGUGUAGCAGUGAAAUGCGUAGAUAUGCGGAGGAACACCGAUGGCGAAGGCAAUCCCCUGGGCCUGCACUGACGCUCAUGCACGAAAGCGUGGGGAGCAAACAGGAUUAGAUACCCUGGUAGUCCACGCCCUAAACGAUGUCAACUGGUUGUUGGGUCUUCACUGACUCAGUAACGAAGCUA
rnacentral:rRNA from 1 species